AUGUUGACCCGGCCUGCCCCAUCAGCGAUGAACAUAAAGGAGCCAAAGGUUAGGCUCUCUCCUAGCGGAAGGUCGCCGGAAGCAAAAGAAUAUCCAAUCCAAGAUUGGUCCCCAGCCGACACCGCGAGUGACUGGUGCCAACUGAUGGUGCAAAAUCCUAUCAGAUCCCUCGGUAGGGGUCCAAGUGCAGCUGGAAGUCUUGGAUCAGAGAUCGCACACAUGGUUUAUCCAGGUUUGGGCCUCCGGAGAGUAAUAUCCUACAUCAUGCUUGUUUUCAUUAGUCAUGGUGGAUGGAUACCUCAUGCGAGGAGUUACAAUGGUGUAUGA
rnacentral:rRNA from 1 species